ACUCCGCGUUUAUCUCUGACAGACAGGGAGUGAAGGAGCAGUUAGCACACAGUUACUGCACAGUAGCCGCUGCUGCAGUUGAUGACCUGCUCCAGCCCAGCACAUCUGGCGCCGGCACAAACACACUGGAGUAAUAGCACAUUUGAAGGCAGGCGAUAGAAGAAGAUUACACGGAGCGCCUGAAAGACUUCCUGUUCGCUCUCUCUCUCUCUCUCUCUCUCUCUCUCUCUCAUGAGCGAGACCUGCGGAAGUCUUCUCACCUUGGCUCAGGGCGCUCUAAUUACAGAACUUCACCUGACAGCAGUUAGACGGACAUGCACGCACACGCUUUCACGCUUGAUGGUUCGGGGAUGUACAGAGCAGGAGGUUCAGACGUCAUCCCGGUACUACUCCUGUGUACUGUCACAAAGCCAUUGAUUUGGGCGCUAAUUUGAGUAAUCCGGAUUCAACAACAUUUUCUACGCUAUCUUUUACUCUGGCCAUGGACCUGAAACUGCCAUUCUCCCAUCCUGCUCAGCCUCAGCCCAUCUGCCCCCAACUCGCACACACUGACACUCUGUCCACACUCUGUACCAGCUGUCCCAGUGAAGUCCCUGGGGUGGAAACAGGUGCUGGGCUUGUGCGGGCUGAAGCAGACGGCACAUGGCAGCACACGCUGCCUCCUCCUCACCCUCCCCAAAAUUACAUGAACUUGAUGUUGGAGUUCUUUUUAGAUGCAAUAAAAUUACACCAUUCAAAAGUUUGCGGAUCUCUGUAAUUAUCAAGUGCUGGUAUGCUCACACUUGGCACGUGUGGUUUGAUUAAAACGGACCCUGGUGCAUUUGCUCUGUUAGUGCGGUUCAUUUGAAUAAGUGCCAUCCGAACUCAUGCGCACAAUACAAC